UACGGAGGGCGCUAGCGUUGUUCGGAAUUACUGGGCGUAAAGCGCGCGUAGGCGGCUUUGUAAGUUAGAGGUGAAAGCCCGGGGCUCAACUCCGGAACUGCCUUUAAGACUGCAUCGCUUGAAUCCGGGAGAGGUGAGUGGAAUUCCGAGUGUAGAGGUGAAAUUCGUAGAUAUUCGGAAGAACACCAGUGGCGAAGGCGGCUCACUGGACCGGUAUUGACGCUGAGGUGCGAAAGCGUGGGAGCAAACAGG
rnacentral:rRNA from 1 species